UGUGUCCCAGGUCGCUUACUUGCAUCAUUGAAACANAUGAUGCAAGAUCUCGAUGUCGAAUAAAAUUCUAGGUAGAAUUAUGAUAAUGACAUUGUCUGCCUAUGUGUCUUGACCAAAUUACGUGCCAGCAGUCGCGGUAAUACGUAGAAGACUAGUGUUAUUCAUGUUUAAUCGGUUUAAAGGGUACCUAGACGGUAGAUCAAGCUUUUUCAUAUAAAUUAUGAUAAUUAAAGGGACUAAUUUACUAGAGUUACUUACGAGGGGGUAUUAAAGUACUGCUGGUGUAGAGAUGAAAUUCUGUCAUACCUCUUUUCGAAAGAAAAAUCAUGGCACAGGUAUAGGCGAAGGCAUCCCCUUAUGUGAUAACUGACGUUGAGGGACGAAGGCUUUGUGUAACAAACAGGAUUAGAUACCCUAGUAGUUGAAGCAGAAAAUGAUGAAUGUCAUAGAUUAGAUAUAUAAGUUUAUUCUAUAAAUGAAAGUGUAAGCAUUCCACCUCAUGAGUAAUUUGGCAACAUUGGAAUUGAAAUCAUUAGACCGUUUCUGAAACCAGUAGUGAAGUAUGUUGUUUAAUUUGAUAGUCCGCAAAAAACCUUACCACAAUUUGAAUAUUUAUAUUUUUUUUUUAUUGUUUUCUUCUUAAUUUUCUUCUAAUAACGUGUUCAGCAUGUAAAAAGAAGAANGUUAAUAAAGAGACAAUAAUUUAUAUUUNCANGCGUUGCACGGCUGUCUUCAGUUAAUGUCGCGAGACUUUGGUUUAGUUCCAUUAAAUUAACGUAAACCCUUACUUUAUUUUUAUAUAGAGUAGU
rnacentral:rRNA from 1 species